GAUGAACGCUGGCGGCGUGCCUAAUACAUGCAAAUCGAGCGAAUGGAUUAAGAGCUUGCUCUUAUGAAGUUAGCGGCGGACGGGUGAGUAACACGUGGGUAACCUGCCCAUAAGACUGGGAUAACUCCGGGAAACCGGGGCUAAUACCGGAUAACAUUUUGAACCGCAUGGUUCGAAAUUGAAAGGCGGCUUCGGCUGUCACUUAUGGAUGGACCCGCGUCGCAUUAGCUAGUUGGUGAGGUAACGGCUCACCAAGGCAACGAUGCGUAGCCGACCUGGGAGGGUGCUCGGCCAAGCUGGGACUGAGACACGGCCCAGACUCCUACGGGAGGCAGCAGUAGGGAAUCUUCCGCAAUGGACGAAAGUCUGACGGAGCAACGCCGCGUGAGUGAUGAAGGCUUUCGGGUCGUAAAACUCUGUUGUUAGGGAAGAACAGGUGCUAGUUGAAUAAGCUGGCACCUUGACGGUACCUAACCAGAAAGCCACGGCUAACUACGUGCCAGCAGCCGCAGUAA
rnacentral:rRNA from 1 species